rnacentral:lncRNA from 1 species
GAUCCUUUAGGAUCAAGUACGAUGUCAUGAUGAAGAGAUGGCUCGAUCAACAGUAUAUAAUUGAUUGGCCUCGAUAAGUAAUGAUAAUUGAUCUUCCUGGUGAACAAUUGAAGUUGAUUGCUUAUCCGGAGAUCUUAGGGCCAUUUCCUCUAAUCAUGAGCAUGUGGGCUUAAUUGCCACACGUAAUCCUCAUGGAUAACAUACGCAACCCUCGUCCAUAUUCAACACCUGUAAUAGGCACCCCACUAUCUCU